UUAUAUGAUGACAAAUGGUCAAGAGACCAGAUAUAUAACCCAGCUCGUCGAGGCACAAAGUGCUCCAUGAGAUAAGAAACAUGUUCUGAAU
rfam:Pseudogymnoascus pannorum VKM F-4281 (FW-2241) contig_1956, whole genome shotgun sequence.